rnacentral:rRNA from 1 species
UCGGGAAUUUUGGGCAAUGGGCGAAAGCCUGACCCAGCAACGCCGCGUGAAGGAUGAAGUAUUUCGGUAUGUAAACUUCGUAAGAAUAGGAAGAAUAAAUGACGGUACUAUUUGUAAGGUCCGGCUAACUACGUGCCAGCAGCCGCGGUAAUACGUAGGGACCAAGCGUUGUUCGGAUUUACUGGGCGUAACGGGCGCGUAGGCGGUGUGUCAAGUCAGUUGUGAAAUCUCCGAGCUUAACUCGGAACGGUCAACUGAUACUGUCACACUAGAGUACAGAAGGGGCAAUCGGAAUUCUUGGUGUAGCGGUGAAAUGCGUAGAUAUCAAGAGGAACACCUGAGGCGAAGGCGGGUUGCUGGGCUGAUACUGACGCUGAGACGCGAAAGCGUGGGGAGCAAACAGGAUUAGAUACCCACGUAGUCCCUGAGCGGGCUGGCAAGGCGCAU